AUUGCUUCUCGGCCUUUUGGCUAAGAUCAAGUGUAGUAUCGCUUAUCAGUUUAAUAUCUGAUACGUCCUCUAUCUGAGGACAAUAUAUUAAAUGGAUUUUUGGAAGUAGGAGUUGGAAUAGGAGCUUGCUCCGUCCGCUCCACGCAUCGCCCCUGUAUUUCCAUACAUCCAGGAACGGUGCACCCCCU